AUGAACUCUCUGGAGCAGGCGGAAGAUCUCAAGGCUUUCGAGAGAAGACUUACUGAGUAUAUUCAUUGCUUGCAACCUGCCACGGGACAUUGGAGAAUGCUUCUUAUAGUGGUCUCUGUCUGUACAGCUACUGGUGCCUGGAACUGGUUAAUAGAUCCUGAGGCACAAAAGGUGUCCUUCUUCACAUUAUUAUGGAAUCACCCAUUUUUCACUAUUAGCUGUAUCACUCUAAUAGGCUUGUUCUUUGCUGGAAUACACAGGAGAGUAGUUGCACCAUCAAUUAUAGCCGCUCGAUGUCGAACAGUAUUAGCAGAGUACAAUAUGUCUUGUGAUGAUACAGGGAAACUAAUUUUGAAACCUAGGCCUCACGUUCAAUGACAUUCUGCAUUCAUUGUUAUGGGACCUAAAACAGUCUCUCUUCAAAUAAGUGAUACAGCAAAAAGCCAUAAAGGAUUCCUU